rnacentral:rRNA from 1 species
UACGUAGGGUGCGAGCGUUAAUCGGAAUUACUGGGCGUAAAGCGUGCGUAGGCGGUUCGUUAAGUCAGCUGUGAAAGCCCCGGGCUCAACCUGGGAAUGGCAAUGGAUACUGGCAAGCUAGAGUGCGGUAGAGGGUAGUGGAAUUCCCGGUGUAGCGGUGAAAUGCGCAGAUAUCGGGAGGAACACCUAUGGCGAAGGCAGCUCGCUGGGACGUUACUGACGCUGAGACGCGAAAGCGUGGGGAGCAAACAGG